rnacentral:rRNA from 1 species
GACGAACGCUGGCGGCGUGCUUAACACAUGCAAGUCGAACGGAAAGGCCCUGCUUUUUUGGGGUUCUCGAGUGGCGAACGGGUGAGUAACACGUGAGUAACCUGCCCUUGACUUUGGGAUAACUUCAGGUAACUGGGGCUAAUACCGGAUAGGAGCUCCUGCUGCAUGGUGGGGGUUGGAAAGUUUCGGCGGUUGGGGAUGGACUCGCGGCUUAUCAGCUUGUUGGUGGGGUAGUGGCUUACCAAGGCUUUGACGGGUCGCCGGCCUGUGAGGGUGACCGGCCACAUUGGGACUGAGAUACGGCCCAGACUCCUACGGGAGGAAGCAGUGGGGAAUAUUGCACAACGGGCGGAAGCCUGAUGCAGCAACGCCGCGUGCGGGAUGACGGCCUUCGGGUUGUAAACCGCUUUCGCCUGUGACGAAGCGUGAGUGACGGUAAUGGGUAAAGAAGCACCGGCUAACUACGUG